CAAAAAUACAACCUGAGCUUGUCAGUAUAAUCAGGUAAUAUCUAAAAGCAUAAAAUAUUUUAUUUUAUAUUUAUUUUAUGCUUUUAGAUAUUACCUGAUUAUACUGACAAGCUCAGGUUGUAUUUUU